CUACUUAGCUGGCAGGGGAGACGCUUUGACCACCAAGGCAGUUCUUCCAAGGUGAGGCUCACCCAGUGCCCUCUGGGUGUGCUGACCCCUGCGAUUUCCCCAAAUGCGGGAAACUCGACUGCAUAAUUUAUUGUAGUGGGGGACUGCAUUCGUGCUUUCCCCUG
rnacentral:snRNA from 1 species